AUCUAGAAGGUAAUAUGCUAAGUGAAAUAAGUCAAAGUCAAAUACCACAUGAUCUCAUUUAUACGUGGAGUUUAAAAAACAAAACAGAAUAAAAAGCAUGCACAGAUACAGAGAACAAAUGGCUGGGUGUGGUGGGGAGGCUUGGGGGCAAAACAGGUGAAAGGGAUUAAGAGGUACAAACUUCUAGUUAUAAACCCCUAUGGGUUUCUUCCUAUUGUCUAUUGUUUCUCUUGGAUUUUGAUCAUGUUGUCUUAUCUCCUCAGGUGCUUUUAGAUUGUCUAACAUAAAUAUGAAAAAUUACAAAAAUAACUUAAAAGGUCCAGAGAAGAUUGACAUUUGCUCUGAUUAGUCGCUAGGUACACUACAAAUCCAGGGUCACCUUAAUUCAGUUUUAGGGAUUGAAAAGAUUCAAACUGCAUCUAUUCUUUUGUUCACCCUUACAAUUAGGAUGUAGUCUUUGCGGUCCCAAUCCAGUGUGCUCAGUUACUAGGGUCCCUUCUUCCUUGGAGAGCCCUGAACUCCAAUUUUUAACCCUCUAACUUAGUAGCUAGGCUGCCAAAAAUGUUAGUUAUCUUCUCAGCCACCUCUUUCUGAAUUGGCAAAUGCUCCUAGAAGAAAAGCAGCUCAAAAGCUGAGCUCAGGUCUCUAAGUUUCAUUUCUACCUUGGAUCUUGGUGAUGUAAUUCUUCACUGUCUUCUUGGUUCUCUGAUAUCUUUAAGCAGAUUUAAAAAUAUUAUUUUGCCCAGCCAGUUCUCUGUGAGAUGCCUGAUGUGAAUUACUGAUGAACUACUAACAGUGAAAGUCAAAAAAGCUGGUUUUAGAGAAAAUUUGGUGGAGAUGGAGAUAAGUUACACAUACAGGUUUGAUGCUAAGAGAAGCUGAGCUAGGUACCUGUGUUUGAACAGCAUCAAAUUAUUGAUGAUAUUUUAGAUCUUGGGAGUGAAUGAGGUUGUCCACUGUGAAUGUAGAAUAAGAAGAGGGGGCCUGAACCAGUUGUUAAGAAAUUCCAAAAUUUAGAGGUAAGGUAGAAAAGGAAAAGCAGGUUGAGAAGGAGUAGUCAGGGAUAUGAGAUGAAAAUGAAGAUAAUGGAAAGGAAAAAAAAAGAAAAAAGGAUAAAUAAGAUGAGAAUAUAAAAGUAACUACAAUUUAACCUUGAACAGCACUGGGGUUAAUCUACAUAUAGUAUUCAUGGAUUGAACCAACUGCAGACCGGGUAGUAACUUAGUAUUUACUAAUGAAAAAUAUCCAUGUGCAAGUGGACAUACACAGUUCAAACCUGUAUUGUUCAAGGGUCAACUGUAGUUGGUUUGACAAUAUGAAGGUAAAUAAUGACCUUAAUAAAAACUUUCUUUAUUUGGGGGGAUAGUAGAGAUGGAAUCCAGACUGGAAUGGUCUGACAGGUGAAUGAAGAUGAGGAAACUUGGCCAGGAAUGAAAUGGAGAGACAUGGGAGCAGUUUGAGAAGAAUAAAAGGCAUUUUCUUCUGAACGGAAACAUUCCAACUGCUUUAAAACAAACUGGUACCAGUCUUCCGGAAAUAAUGAGCUCAUCUCCUUCACUUUGGAAUUAGGCAAACAGUUAGACAUCCACUCUUCAGUUGGUUCGUCACCAAAAACAUCAUCAGACCAGUCAUCCAAAGUUUCUGAAUUUAAACUGUCUGUGUCUUCUGGGGAUUCAGUUUGCGGUGGAGUAUUCAAAGCAGGCAGAACUAUUAGAGAUGCUUUCCCUUUAUUUUCAAU